rnacentral:rRNA from 1 species
GAUGAACGCUGGCGGCGUGCCUAAUACAUGCAAGUCGAGCGAAUGGAUUAAGAGCUUGCUCUUAUGAAGUUAGCGGCGGACGGGUGAGUAACACGUGGGUAACCUGCCCAUAAGACUGGGAUAACUCCGGGAAACCGUGGCUAAUACCGGAUAACAUUUUGAACCGCAUGGUUCGAGAUUGAAAGGCGGCUUCGGCUGUCACUUAUGGAUGGACCCGCGUCGCAUUGGCCAGUUGGUGAGGUAACGGCUCACCAAGGCAACGAUGCGUAGCCGACCUGAGAGGGUGAUCGGCCACACUGGGACUGAGACACGGCCCAGACUCCUACGGGAGGCAGCAGUAGGGAAUCUUCCGCAAUGGACGAAAGUCUGACGGAGCAACGCCGCGUGAGUGAUGAAGGCUUUCGGGUCGUAAAACUCUGUUGUUAGGGAAGAACAAGUGCUAGUUGAAUAAGCUGGCACCUUGACGGUACCUAACCAGAAAGCCACGGCUAACUACGUGCCAGCCGCCGCCGUAA